rnacentral:rRNA from 1 species
AUUGAACGCUGGCGGCAUGCCUUACACAUGCAAGUCGAACGGCAGCAUGGGUGCUUGCACCUGAUGGCGAGUGGCGAACGGGUGAGUAAUGCAUCGGAACGUACCCGGAAGUGGGGGAUAACGUAGCGAAAGUUACGCUAAUACCGCAUAUUCUGUGAGCAGGAAAGCGGGGGAUCGCAAGACCUCGCGCUUCCGGAGCGGCCGAUGUCGGAUUAGCUAGUUGGCGGGGUAAAGGCCCACCAAGGCAACGAUCCGUAGCGGGUCUGAGAGGAUGAUCCGCCAAGCUGGGACUGAGAAACGGCCCAGACUCCUACGGGAGGCAGCAGUGGGGAAUUUUGGACAAUGGGGGCAACCCUGAUCCAGCCAUGCCGCGUGAGUGAAGAAGGCCUUCGGGUUGUAAAGCUCUUUCGGCUGGGAAGAAAUCGCAUCUCCUAAUACGGGGUGUGGAUGACGGUACCAGCAUAAGAAGCACCGGCUAACUACGUGCCAGCAGCCGCAGUAACAC